CAGGACUCGCAAGACUCCUACAACCCUGUGAACCUACUAUACGAACGUUGCUUCGGCGGGUGCGCCCCGGGGAUUCGUUCCCGAGGCGCGUCAGCCCGCCGGCAGCCUACAAAUUCUGUUUCUUUGCGUUGGCAUCUCGAGAAAAAACAAAUAAGUUA
rnacentral:misc_RNA from 1 species